UGCAGCCCACUGCGGAGCAACUUCGGGUCAUCUUCUUGUUACGUGGGGCCCCACCUUCGGGGUUCCCGCGACAGCAUGAAUCACGACCACUUUAGCUCCGCCCGUUGACUCUGCGGCUACGACCUUUAUUUGUCACGAAAGGCGGGCUUUAGAGGCGCGGGACUUCCACACUUCCUCUCCGAAGGCCCUGCGCCGGUGCCGUAGCCAAUGACAGGCCACGUUGUGUCCCAGCAGCCAAUCGGAAGGGCCUGAGCCUGAAGACGUGCAUUUGACCGCUCCUCCCUCCGCGUUGGAGGCGGAAUAGUGGGUUUUGCUGCAACCGGUUUAUUUUCCUUCUGUUUUCACCCAUUCGGGCACAAUCUGGCGCCAUCGUCCUUCUUGUGAGGCCAAGCCUGAAAAUGCGAAGCAGAGAGGCAGGACCAAAAUUGAGGCGAAUCCGGGAACCUGCCAAUGGGUCUCCGGGUGCGGUCUCUGAAACUGGAGGAUAUCGGGAGGAAAGGCUCUCCGAUGCGGAGAUAAUGGGGAAGCUCUUGGCAUGGUUGGCUGUAGGUAUGUGAUACCGGAGGAGCAGGAGUCAAAUAGGAUACGCCGACUUUUAAUUCAAGGAACCCUUUUCUGAAACACUUUGCCACAAUGAAGGAAAUAAGGUAAGGUUCUUGGGGCUCCUCAGUAGUAAUAGGGGCAGGGGACAAGGGGCAAUUAAGUGGUUUUGGUUGGGAAUGAGGCAUUAUGAAUAGCUUUCAGGAGAUAGAGCUUAGAACAAUGUCUUAGUUAUAAGUUCUUAUGUUUGAGGAAGAGAUUUCAAUUUGCUUAAAGAAGGAAACGGGCCAGUGGGUUUUUGUCUCUGAGAAGGAGAUCCUUAGCAUACAGAAAACAGAGAAGGGUUUGCAACUUUUCCGUUUCUUUGUAUAGCACACAAAAAUAAUUCCAAAUAUCCAGGCCUAACCAGAUUGCUUCUUUUUCCCCUUUGUGUUUACUUUGUCCAGAUUACAGCCGAAGAUACAUAUUAAGGUAUUACUUAUUCACACCAGUUUUCCAUUAUAAUAUGCUUGUAUCUUCUCUGAAUGGAAUUAAUAGCUUUUGGUUAUGGUUCCUUAAAAGUCACAUGGCCUAAGGAUAGAUGGUCAAGGAACUUUGGAAAAAUUGGUCCCUGGGGGAUGUGCAGGGCAAAUACUUUUUGGCUGUAAGGUGUGUGCAGAGAGUAAGAACUGGAUUUAAAUACUGUAAGUUGGUUGGGCUGUUAGAGCCUUUUCCUGCUCAACCAAUUAAGACCCGAGUGAGGCUGAAUAAAAAUAACAUUGUUUUUAGCUAUCUUUAAGGAAAAAAUUAGUUGCCUUAUAUUUUUGUAACAGUUUUACUCAGAUAUAAUUCUCAUACCACACAACUAAUUGGUUUAAAGUGUACAAUUCAGUGGGUUUUAGUAUAUGCACAGAAUUGUGGAACAGUCACAAUCAAUAUUAGAACAUUUUCAUCACUCCAAAAAGAAACCUCAUUCUUAUUAGCAGCACCUCCAAAUAUUCCCCCACCCCGCUUCAGCAAACACUAAUUUAGUUUCCGUGUGCCUCUGCCUGCUCUGUACACUUCAUGUAAGUGGAAUUAUGAACUAAUAUAUGGUCUUUGUGACUGGCUUCUUUCACUUGGAAUGUUUUCAGAGUUCAUCCAUCUUAUAGCACGUAUCAGUACUUUAUUUUUUAUUGCUGAAUCGUAUUCCAUUUUAUGGAUGUAGCAGAUUUUGUUUAUCCGUUCAACAGUUGGUGGACAUUUGGGUUGUUUCCAAUUUUUUUUUUUACUAUUAUGAACAUUUGUGUACAAGUUUUUGUGUGGACAAAUGUUUUCAUUUUCCUGAUUACACACCUAAGAGUGGAAUUGGUGAGUCAUAAGAUAACUGUGUUUAACUUCUUGAGGAAGUGCCAGAUUAUUUUCCCUAGUGGCUGCACCAUUUUACAUUCCCACCAGCAGUGGAUGAGGCUGCCAGUUUCUCCACAUUUUUGUGCAUGUGAAGUGGCUGUCUCAUCGUGGUGUUUGCCUUUUCUUAAGGACUCAAAAGUUUGCAGAUACAGGCAUUCACUUGCCAUUUUCUUAAGGUAGAGUUGAAAGUACUGCUGCCAGUUCAUCAUCUGAAAUGAGGGCUGUUUUCUUUCCUGUUUAAUUGGAUUGCAACUAUUUGCCUUUCCUAAAGAUGAAAUAGUGUGCUUCCCACAUUAUUCUGACAACAUUCCUUUAAUUGUUAAUUUCAGAUGAAUUUCUGAAAACUGCU
rnacentral:lncRNA from 1 species